rnacentral:rRNA from 1 species
UACGAAGGGGGCUAGCGUUGCUCGGAAUCACUGGGUUUAAAGGGUGCGUAGGCUGUGCGGAAAGUUGGGUGUGAAAUACCUUAGCUUAACUAAGGAACUGCGCUCAAAACUACCGUGCUUGAGGGAGACAGGGGUAAGCGGAACUUAGGGUGGAGCGGUGAAAUGCGUUGAUAUCCUAAGGAACACCGGUGGCGAAAGCGGCUUACUGGGUCUCUUCUGACGCUGAGGCACGAAAGCUAGGGUAGCGAACGGG